CUCGUAGGCGGUUCGUCGCGUCCGGUGUGAAAGUCCAUCGCUUAACGGUGGAUCCGCGCCGGGUACGGGCGGGCUUGAGUGCGGUAGGGGAGACUGGAAUUCCUGGUGUAGCGGUGAAAUGCGCAGAUAUCAGGAGGAACACCGAUGGCGAAGGCAGGUCUCUGGGCAGUUACUGACGCUGAGGAGCGAAAGCAUGGGUGCAAACA
rnacentral:rRNA from 1 species